ACGAAGGAUGCAAGCGUUAUCCGGAUUCAUUGGGUUUAAAGGGAGCGUAGGUGGUCUUAUAAGUCAGUGGUGAAAUCUCUGGGCUUAACCCAGAAAUUGCCAUUGAUACUGUAGGACUUGAGUAUAGUUGCCGUUGGCGGAAUAUGACAUGUAGUGGUGAAAUACAUAGAGAUGUCAUAGAACACCGAUUGCGAAGGCAGCUAACGAAACUAUAACUGACACUGAGGCUCGAAAGUGUGGGGAUCAAACAGGA
rnacentral:rRNA from 1 species